CAUAUACUGUAAAAAAAGAGAGUGGAGACCCAUAGUUGCAGCAUUGGAAGGCCAAAAAUCUAUGGAAGUAGAAGAUGGCACACUGAUGGUGUAGUGGACAUGCAGUGGUGUGAUGUAGACACAAUCCCUGGCAUCCUCCGCUUGCAAAACCAUCCAUCUCCACCCAAAAUCUGCACCCAUCACAUGCUUACAAGAAUAAAUAGAAAGUUAAUUAAGCAUGUAAGCAAAAGAGGAAUUGAACAAUUUAUAACUUUUAAGAACCUGGACUACAUGAUUUAGCUAGGUUAUGAACUGAGGCGGGAUAUGUGCAGUAAGAGAAAGCAGAGAUUUAAAAGAAACACAAACUUACUUAGCUAGUUCCUUUUGUGCUCCCAUGGCCCCAUACAUGAAGUAUUAGACCACCUAAAGUCUUAAACUAUAACGCCUUCAGUAUUUGCGUCCGGCUCCAUGCAUAAUCUGAAAGAAAGCCGAAAAAACACUUAACGAACGUACAUGUACCAACUGGAUAAACGUGGUCAAUCAUGUAUUCUCUUAAAACAAUAAUUGUAGGAUCGGAAAAUAACACACGUAUGCAGAUUUGCGCUCGGCAAGGUUCCAAAGCAGUAUACAAUAGUCAAGAUUACAAUGAUUUAUCUCUCCAGCACAUGAACCCUUGAAUAUAAACUACAUAUUGGUCAAAUGAAGUGCAUGGUGGAAGAUUCUUUAUGGGCUGUGUCAGUAUGGCUCCGGUGCCCAGAAAUCCUAUACACUAAGCUUCAGAAACCAAAGUAACUAUUGUAGCAAGUUUGCUACAGAGUUGUGUCACGUGUAUCAAGACUUGGUUCACAUCUCAUUCAUCAUGGGGUUGUGUCAGUAACUCAAUAUGGCUUCAGUGCCCAGCUUAUCUUGGUAUUUGUUAUUAGUCAUACAUGGUAUUGUUGCUCUUGAGUUAAUCAAUUCAUUUUUUUAGAACCGAGUUAACCAAUUCAGAUUGGUCAAAUACUUGCAUCUCUUAUUGUGCACACAAUAUAUUAUUUUCAGCUCUUAAUUUUGGUUUCACAUAGGACGUGUGCACCUAAACACCUAAACUAAAUAAUCCUCUAUCCUUCGAUAAUUACCAGGAAUUCAGAGCAAUCCAUGAGUAGCUGUACAUGGAUGUGCAUAUGAUAAAUCGCAUUCCCAAUCUCUCUCCCAUAGACAUCGGCAGCAACAAUCAGGAGCAGUAGCAUCUCCUCUCUCUCAAAUUUUCCCAUCCCAAAAAUUUCCCGUCAUCUUCUCCCCACCCCCAGUUUAAAACCAAGAAGGGAUAAUAAAAAUAAUAUUUGAUCAAGGCUGUUGCAACUCCUUCUAAUAAAUUUAUGUGAAGUCCUGCUAACCGGUAUAACGUGCAAACUUACUAUAUAUACACAGCCAACCAGUAAUGUGAAUUCUUGACCUUGUUUCCCUAAGAAUAAUUUUCCACAUGAAAUUAUUUAUAAAAAAGGGACAACUUCCACGGUUCUAGCUUAACUCAUGCACACCUUCAGCCAAAAAUAACUACAGAGACGCGGACUGGAACCAUGUAGCAUUGGUCUUACCAAGAUAAACGAAACCGAGACCAAAUCUGCAGCAUUGGUCUUACCAAGAUAAGCAAAACAGAGACCUGAU
rnacentral:lncRNA from 1 species